GAUGAACGCUGGCGGCGUGCUUAACACAUGCAAGUCGAACGAUGAAGCCCAGCUUGCUGGGUGGAUUAGUGGCGAACGGGUGAGUAACACGUGAGUAACCUGCCCUUAACUCUGGGAUAAGCCUGGGAAACUGGGUCUAAUACCGGAUAGGAGCGUCCACCGCAUGGUGGGUGCUGGAAAGAUUUAUCGGUUUUGGAUGGACUCGCGGCCUAUCAGCUUGUUGGUGAGGUAAUGGCUCACCAAGGCGACGACGGGUAGCCGGCCUGAGAGGGUGACCGGCCACACUGGGACUGAGACACGGCCCAGACUCCUACGGGAGGCAGCAGUGGGGAAUAUUGCACAAUGGGCGCAAGCCUGAUGCAGCGACGCCGCGUGAGGGAUGACGGCCUUCGGGUUGUAAACCUCUUUCAGUAGGGAAGAAGCGAAAGUGACGGUACCUGCAGAAGAAGCACCGGCUAACUACGUG
rnacentral:rRNA from 1 species